rnacentral:rRNA from 1 species
AUUGAACGCUGGCGGCAUGCUUUACACAUGCAAGUCGAACGGUAACAGGCCUUCGGGUGCUGACGAGUGGCGAACGGGUGAGUAAUGCAUCGGAACGUGCCCAGAGGUGGGGGAUAACGCAGCGAAAGCUGUGCUAAUACCGCAUGUGAUCUGAGGAUGAAAGCGGGGGACCAAGCAGCAAUGUUUGGCCUCGCGCCUCUGGAGCGGCCGAUGUCAGAUUAGGUAGUUGGUGGGGUAAAGGCCUACCAAGCCGACGAUCUGUAGCUGGUCUGAGAGGACGACCAACCACACUGGGACUGAGACACGGCCCAGACUCCUACGGGAGGCAGCAGUGGGGAAUUUUGGACAAUGGGCGCAAGCCUGAUCCAGCAAUGCCGCGUGCGGGAAGAAGGCCUUCGGGUUGUAAACCGCUUUUGUACGGAACGAAAAGGCUCUGGCUAAUACCUGGGGCUGAUGACGGUACCGUAAGAAUAAGCACCGGCUAACUACGUG